GGAACGUGCGCAAGCUGACCUGUGUAUUCUCAACAUUGUAAGCAUCAGAUGAAAGUCGGUGCCAAGCAUUCAUCGACAGUUUCAGCAAGGUAGGGAUUCUCCAAUGCUGCUGCUACACGCUCUUUAUCGUUCAACUGCUUGUUCACAGUAGCUUCAGUAGCAUGACUUCCAGGUGCCACCCUGAUGUCGACCUUGAAUCGAGA
rnacentral:misc_RNA from 1 species